CCCUUAGAUGUUCUGGGCUGCACGCGCGCUACACUGAUGCUUUCAUCGAGUAUAUAACCUUACCAGACAUGGUUGGGUAAUCUUUUGAAACAGCAUCGUGAUGGGGAUAGAUUAUUGUAAUUAUUAGUCCUCAACGAGGAAUUCCUAGUAAGCGCGAAUCAUCAGUUCGUGCUGAUUACGUCCCUGCCCUUUGUACACACCGCCCGUCGCUCCUACCGAUUGAGUAAUCCGGUGAAUAAUUCGGACCGAUUGCGAUGUCAGUUCCUGGCGCCGCAGACGGAAAGUCUAGUGAACCUUAUUACUUAGAGGAAGGAGAAGUCGUAACA
rnacentral:rRNA from 1 species